GACGAACGCUGGCGGCGUGCUUAACACAUGCAAGUCGUACGGUAAGGCCCUUUCGGGGGUACACGAGUGGCGAACGGGUGAGUAACACGUGCGUAACCUGCCCACAACUUUGGGAUAACGCUAGGAAACUGGUGCUAAUACUGGAUAUGUGCUCCUGCUGCAUGGUGGGGGUUGGAAAGCUCCGGCGGUUGUGGAUGGACUCGCGGCCUAUCAGCUUGUUGGUGGGGUAGUGGCCUACCAAGGCGGCGACGGGUAGCCGGCCUGGGAGGGUGACCGGCCACAUUGGGACUGAGAUACGGCCCAGACUCCUACGGGGGGCAGCAGUGGGGAAUAUUGCACAAUGGGCGCAAGCCUGAUGCAGCAACGCCGCGUGCGGGAUGACGGCCUUCGGGUUGUAAACCGCUUUCAGCAGGGACGAAGCUUUUUGUGACGGUACCUGCAGAAGAAGCACCGGCUAACUACGUG
rnacentral:rRNA from 1 species